UUAGAAUAUUUUUGGUCUGAAGACCUACAGAUUCAAUAUACCAGUCAAUUUAAGAAAAGAAAUCCUUCAAAUAUUCAGGAAUAAAGAGCCAAAAUUCUUGAUAAGAAAAGAUGAGGUUUUCACUUCUGAGGCAUAUAUGGUUAAGUACUGCAAGGAAGCAGUCACAUCUAUUAAACCUGGAUGUUUUUCUGAAAGUUACACAAGUAUAUGUAAAAUCUGUGCUCUAAGCAAACUUAUCAGUCCUCAGACACAAAGAUAUGCCACCGAUCUGAGAACAUACCUAUAGUGUGUAAACACGUGUUGACAUUUGAAUUAAAUAAUCUGCCAAGUAACUCUGUAGUAAUUACAAGCCAUAUAGCAAGUGUGUGAAGAAAUCCUAGGUCUUUUGAAAGUUAUUAAAAUGUAAUUGCUUUCAGGAUAGCCGAAAGGAGCUGCUUUUUCACCAUUUGAAACUUAGCUCUGCAUUUCUCAAUGCCUAUUUCAAAUGUUUCUUCUUCUUCAUGAGCUAUUUGUAUCCCAGAAUUUCAUGGGGAGCAAACUAAAUUAACUUAUCACUGCCCCAAUUCCUUGAAGUUGCGUACAGGAGACGGUUCAAAUUUCUGCAGCGCUGGUACUUCAUGAACAUCAUCUGUACAGUGAACCAUAACAUCGAAGUGUAAUUUCCAUACUUUCUCAGUACAACUUAGCUUUGAUGAGAUUCUACAGUCAUAUAAGUCAGAGGCUACACCAUUUUCUCAGGGAAAAAGGGUUUGUGUUGCCAUUUUCUUUCACUUAAGUGCUGCCUUUUUCUGUUGUGUUUGCUUCUUUGCAAUAAUUACAGUGUGGUGUGGUAUCACACUAUACAAGUCAGUGUCAUGUCUUAUAAAAUAUUUUACUGCAACUCUAGCCAACAAACUUCAUUAUCUAACAUCUUUUGUUGCCUGAUACAAGCGCUGUUUUCAACUUUCAGAUGACAGGAGUACUAAUUAAUUGUGUAUCUUCUGACUCUCACUGCAAGGCAUGUUAUUUUCUGAUUGUUUGAUGUUGCUCCAAUUUAAAGUGCAAUUUUUAUUGACAACAUCCUGUACCUUCUAGGUCAAAUACAUUUAUAGGUGAUUUUCUUAAGUAAUUGGUACUUCUUUUCUGGUCUGUAAAAUGUUCCAGCAGUUUUAAUCUAAACUAUAAAAUGAACAGAAAUUAGAUCAAUUAAAUAAUUCACAUAAAGUGUAAAAUUCCCUUGCAAGUAGAAGGUGUGAGUUUACAAAAUGCUUGUUGCUGACUAACCUGCAGCUUUUAUUAAAUCCUUUUCGUUCACUGGCAAUUAAAACACUGGUAAUUAGUCAGGAGCAGGUGGGUGACUUCAUGGAAGAGUGACUGAGUGAAAGAUAACAUUGCCUAGAGAGGUUUUGGAUAUGCAAAACUUGGCUGGACAAGGUCCUGGGCAACCUUCUCAAACUAGACCUGCUUUGAUCAGGUGGUUGGACUAGAGACCUCUGGAGGUCCCUUCCCAUCCAUAUGAUCCUGUGAUUCUCUGAAUAUAGCAUUAGAUUUUCUGCACAAGCUCCAGCCUAUAUUAGCUCUGUCCCCAGUUUUGUAUACCUAAUGCAGAAAGCUUCUGCUUUAUAAAAUGGUACUUGGUUUUUCCUAGGGUCUUUGGCUUUUCCUGCUAGCAUUCAGCAGUGUUCCUUGUUUACCCCUUCUGUUAAGCUCUUGCUGAAUUUCAUCAUGGAUAUGUGCCACUGUUCACCAUUGGGAGAAUUUCAUUUUAUGAAAAACUACGGAGCACGAGAACAUGAAGUCACUCUGAUCUGAUAUCAUGGUUUGGGCAUUAAAAUACUUUCUGAAGUAUUUAUUGAAAACUCAGGAUGACAGACUUUGCUAGAGCAAUGGAUCUGAUCAGAUCAUCUUUCUGUUCAUGGUAGCUGUGCCCUCUUUAUGAAACAGCUCAUAGAUAGCGUAUUUUUUUUAGCUUGUAGCUCUUUGGGUAAUUAUGAAUGGACAAACCAAUGUGAGUAAGGGCUGGGUAAAAGGUCUUGUGGAUAGACAGUUGUAUUGUAACAGGAAGUUGUUUACCUCAUUAACAAAACUGCUAUAGAGCUAAUUGCAUUUUAAUUAGGCACCUUGCAACAAGAACAACUAUGUGCAUUGAUUUCUUGCAACACUUGCAAAGUUAACUGCCUACAAGAGACAACUAGAAACUCCCUUGGCCUGUGCUUUUCCACAGAUAAAUAUUUUAUGACUAUAUUUAACUUCUUAUAUUAGUCUGCCAAUGUUACUUCAAGCUUCUUUUUCAUUGUUAUUAGGGUGUACAAAUCUUUUUUUUUUUCCCUUUGAACUCUUGCUUUGCUCUUUUUAUUCCUUCUUCAGCCUGAGAGCACUUCAAAGCAGAGCAUUCUCUUCCAGAACACCCAGCAGAGCACGAGCUUCCAGUUCUGCCAAUUUGCAGAUGAUAAAUGUUUUUAUGAAACUGAAGGGCUUUAUCUGAAAAGGUAAAAUUAUUUUGCAAGAUCUGCAAGCCUAUUGCUUCCUUAAAUGUAAUACAUUUUUUGAAAUUAUGACUACUUUUUUGCUUCUCCAUGUAGCCAUUUUCCUACUAAGUAAUGAGGCGUUUCUACCUGCUAACCUAAAAUAUAAAUUUAACCAAAGAUUACAGAAGUGUCAAGUUGAUUCACUCAGAUAUAUCUAAUUUUGGACCUGAUAGAAAUGGUGGGAGCAAUAACCCAGCCUAUGCUUCUAACUUGUUUUUCAACUACAUGAAUUUCAAGCAGUGUUUGCUAGCACCUGGUACUUGCUUGUGGUCAGGUACUAGUUAAGGUGCAUGCUGUUCAAAUUAUUGCAUUUCUGGCAAGGAGUUUAAGCUGUUUGGUUUUUCGUAUGAAGUCUUUCCUGAGUAUUUUACACUUAGGUAGGCAAAAAAAAAUGACUCUGUAAGGUACGACAGGAUUCCCUAGGACCUGCAGAACUCAAUAGUGUGAUUCACUUAUCCUCAUCUUUGAUGCAUUUUUGCAAAAUAACAUGUUUUUAUUGUAUUUUGUGUGGCUGAUAUCACCGGGGAAGCAGUUCCACUCUCAGACGAAUGCCAGGUCAGGCCUUGUCAAUGCAGAUGAGAAUUUGCAAUUAGUAUUCUGUACUUCGCUGCUAAUGAACCAUCUAAUCAGGAAGUUUCUGUCUGUACUAAUAAAAUUCCUGUGAGUGUCAAGGUUACAGGAGUGCUUGACAAAAUGAUGCAAAUAGUGUUUUUACAAAAGCACUGAUAUCUUAAGUGCUAAAUGGGUUGUAAAUUUACUUUUUUACCUCUAUGCUUUUCAUUUCAGCAGAGCAGACAUGUUAACAGACUUAAAAAUCUUCUUAGUCUUUUUUUUCUUUCCUUCAGAGUGAGAUAACUCAUACAACAAACCAGAAAGUCCUAAAACUGUAAGCAUUGGAAUUGAAUUGAAAAACCCAUCUGUUUCAGAGGAGAUAGUUGUAUAGGCAAGCAACAGUUUCAAAGGUAUUUGGAAAAGAUUUAAGUUAGUAUGUAGCAUCAUUUCACCUGAUCAAUACUAAGUGGUUUCAGAAGGAAUUCAGACCCAACAACUCCAGCAGGCAACAGUGUAGAGGAGGAGAAACAGCAAGAAUCAGGAAGGCAGGAUUAGUAACCAAGGUUGCUUGAUUUCAACACACACUAUAUAUGUAAACAUUUUACUUCUGGUAAAUACUGUAAUCGUCCUAGGGACGGGGCAGGAUGAUAAUUACUGUCAUAUGGAGGGGCUGGGAAGAAGGAGAUGUUCAAAAGUUCUAAAACUGUUCUAACUAGUUCUAAAACUGUUGUUCAAAUUUUGGUCUUGACAAACACGGAAAGCUGACAACCUGCUUGGUUUCAGAGGCCGAGCACUGGGCUGGGGCCCAGGGAAACCAAUUCUUUCCCCAGUUUUGCCUUACUGUGCUUGCAGGUGAGGCAAGCGACAUUUGUUUUCAGUGAUAAAUCAUUUUCAGGUACUGCAAUUUGCAAUAGAAAUGCAAAACACAGUACUCAUCAAAUAGUAACAUUUGUAACAGGCAAAUAGAGAAGCUUCUUAGUUUUUCCUGAUCUCUAAUAUCCCUUACAAUUAUUUUUUUCCUUUUCUUUAUUCAGUCAUUGUAUUGACUGUUUGUGACAAGGUUUUGAAAAGCAUCUGAUGAUUUGGAGCUCUUUGAUUUGCAGGUUUCCCGUUGAAGGAUGUGACUUCCAGAAAGAGCAGAGCAAAAUUUCUCUGCAGGCAUCUCUGGAGUGUCUCAGUGUGGGUCCUGGCAAGUAUUAAAUUCCUCUUGGAAAUCUUGGCCUCUGUGUUAAAGUGUUAGAUAAUAUUAUGGGAACAAUAGGUAACUAAGUGCCUCAAGGGAUAUCAAGUUCCUGCUAAGCAUUGGUUAAGACAGCAUUCAUCUUAAUGCCAAUGCAUUUCUCAAAGGCCACAACUUUAGUUGUACCAAACUAAAUCCUGAAAGUUUGUCAGUUUGGAUUAUAUUGUUCACAAGGUAAAAUGAAAUAUUCUGGCUUCCAAACUUGUGUUGAUUCAGAAUAUUUCACACCUAUUUUAAUCACUGGUGGUGAUACUGAUCUCAGUGAAAAUGACAUAUGUCAUGUCCCAUGCCAGUGAAAGGAAAACGUCCUGUGGAUGGAGAUGGCACAGCUUGAUCUUUAAGCAUCAUGUUGGAUGUGAGAGGGGGACAGAGAGGACAUUACUACUGUAAGUGAUUUAUAUUCUGUUACUAUCCAGAGGGCCCCUUAAAUCACCUGGUGGUUUGUUGCUGAAUUCAGUUGCUGAACUGCAUCUUAAAUUUUGUGUGUGGGCAUGCUGAGAUCUUUGCAUAGGCUGAAUUUCACAUGGUGCUUUCCAUUUUCCUGGGUAUCAAGACUUUUUUUUUUUUUUAGUAAAAUAUGGCAUUUUUAUAGUAACUUCCUCCAGUACGGUGAAAGCCUGGGUGAAUAUAAUUGUUGUCCAUAGGCGGCUGCUGAGAAGUCUUGUCUUAGCACCUAGAUUUGGACUUCAGCAACAACAUUCACCAAAUAUAGUUUUGUGGGACUCAGACUUCUAAAUCUGAGACACUGAGUUUCUGGGGCACAAGAAUUUCUAAGCCAGCACUUCUAAGGUAGUUACCACUAUGCGCUGGUUUUGGCUAGGGUAAAGUUAAUUUUUUCCGUAGCAGCUGGUAUGGGGCUAUGUUUUGGAUUUGUGCUGGAAACAGUGUUGAUAACACAGGGAUGUUUCAGUUAUUGCUGAGCAGUGCUUACACAGAGCCAAGGUCUUUUCUGCUUCUCACACCACCCCACCAGCGAGGAGGCUGGGGGGGCACAAGAAGCUG